GAGUUUGAUCCUGGCCAGGAUGAACGCUAGCGGCAGGCCUAAUACAUGCAAGUCGAGGGGCAGCGGGUGUAGCAAUACAUGCCGGCGACCGGCAAACGGGUGCGGAACACGUACACAACCUUCCUAUAAGUGGGGAAUAGCCCAGAGAAAUUUGGAUUAAUACCCCGUAACAUAAUGAUGUGGCAUCACAUUAUUAUUAUAGCUUCGGCGCUUAUUGAUGGGUGUGCGGCUGAUUAGAUAGUUGGCGGGGUAACGGCCCACCAAGUCUACGAUCAGUAGCUGAUGUGAGAGCAUGAUCAGCCACACGGGCACUGAGACACGGGCCCGACUCCUACGGGAGGCAGCAGUAAGGAAUAUUGGUCAAUGGACGCAAGUCUGAACCAGCCAUGCCGCGUGAAGGAUUAAGGUCCUCUGGAUUGUAAACUUCUUUUAUCUGGGACGAAAAAAGGCGAUUCUUCGUCACUUGACGGUACCAGAUGAAUAAGCACCGGCUAACUCCGUGCCAGCAGCCGCGGUA
rnacentral:rRNA from 1 species